AUUGAACGCUGGCGGCAUGCCUUACACAUGCAAGUCGAACGGCAGCACGGGAGCAAUCCUGGUGGCGAGUGGCGAACGGGUGAGUAAUAUAUCGGAACGUGCCCAGUCGUGGGGAUAACGUAGCGAAAGCUACGCUAAUACCGCAUACGAUCUAUGGAUGAAAGCGGGGGAUCGCAAGACCUCGCGCGAUUGGAGCGGCCGAUAUCAGAUUAGGUAGUUGGUGAGGUAAAGGCUCGCCAAGCCGACGAUCUGUAGCUGGUCUGAGAGGACGACCAGCCACACUGGGACUGAGACACGGCCCAGACUCCUACGGAGGCAGCAGUGGGAAUUUUGGACAAUGGGCGCAAGCCUGAUCCAGCAAUGCCGCGUGCAGGAUGAAGGCCUCGGUGUAACUGCUUUGUACGUACGAACGGU
rnacentral:rRNA from 1 species